rnacentral:lncRNA from 1 species
GCGGAAGUUAAGCGACGUCAUUGCUCCAUUAACUGCUGGGAUGAUUGACAGACAGUGGACCAAGCAAACAAAGCUAAAAUUAAGCAAAGCUAAGCAAGGAGUGGCAAAAAAGGAGAAAACGGGGGUGCAAAACUACCAAAGAAAGAGAAGAAAAGAGGCGAGGGGGCUCUCUAAUUACCAGCCAGGACUCUGGAGAUCCCGUCAGCCAUUGUGCGCGGGUGUGCAGAGGCUGUGUGGCCGGCAGGCAGGCGACAGGCGCCGGAUUGUGGACAAAGGACUGUCUGCUGCUGAGGCUGUGAGGCGUCCCCGACGCAGCGAUUAACCCUUCCACCAGGACGGUGACAUUUUUUAUCGACUGUCUGUCCUCCCCCACCCGUGGAAUAAUGGUACAGUAGAGAUGUAACAGGUGACUAAGUUGCACAGACGACGAAUACUAAACUAUAGUCCUAACCCACAAACAACACCUUGUACCCUUUUUAUCCAAGUUGUAAACGAGUUCUUAUGAAAUCAAGGAUGGAAAAGUUUUAAAAAAGAUUUCCAACCUCUGUCUAAUUUUUACUUUACCACAUAAAGCAGUAUCUAAUUCAUGCGUUAAGAACCUUUAACGUCCAUGGUUUAAUUCGACAAAAGGUUCUGCAAUGUGGAAGUACUUUCGGUUAAUCAAAAUGCUCUCCAGUCUCUUUUUUACACUUUGCAAAAAGGUUAUUUGUGGAACCUAUUUUUCCUUAUUACCGUGAAACCCCGAUUUGGAUUUUAAAAGAGCGACUUUAUAAACAUUUGAUUUUAAUUUUAAUUGAUUUGUCUCAACUACGCUAUUUUGUCAGUAAACUACAUCCCUGAUCAACAGAUGGCGCAGCUGCAUCAGAUUUAGCUUCUGAUAACUGCAAAACGUCGACCUAUGUGUUUAGUCAGCACACACGCUGCAUUUUAUUUAAUCAAGUGAGUAAAAUGUUUGAUAGGCCUAUACAUUUUCACAAAUAUUUUAGAAUUCCAGUAUCACGCAACAAAAAAGCAUACGAGAUUAAUGCAUCUCGUAGCGCUAAGACUGAAAAAUGACGAUUUAGCCUUCUGAACAUUGCGGCAGUCUUAUUUGCACUGCCUCGUUUUUACAGACAAUAUGCAUCCUCAAAUUCACAUAAAUAAACUGAUACAACGAACUAAAACACUUUCGUUUUAUUUAAACCGAGAGAAUGCAACAAAAACGAUCAUUUACCCGAAAAUCCAGCACCUAGAUGUUUAAACAUAGGUCUCAUAAGACUGCACAUGACCUUCUCAAUGCGAGAUUAUAAAGAAACCUGAGUUUUCCUUGUCUAUGGACCAUCACUGAGUUUAAACAUCUUUUGUUGAAUUUAGCUAUAAAUGUGAUAGCUGUUAAUUGUCACCAGAGAUUUAAAUUUACAGUGGCUUUUCUUUAUAGCCUAUCUUUCAGGAUACCACAAACAUAACACAUUCGUUUUCCUGCUAUCAAGCGCUAGAUAAUGUUCAUAUUUGUAAAUGGUAAAAUAUAUAAAUGUAACAAAUCAAGACCUUAUAGUAUUUACACACCAAUGUACAGUUUAGAAUAAAUUAAAAUUCUUCUCAUUCAGUCCAUUAACCUUAUUUACAUACGUGUUUUAGCCUACUUUUAUUAGCUAUUAUAAAUAAUAAAAAAACAAGUCCCAGACAAGCAAUUUAAACGUAGAUCAUUCUCAGUUGUUUUCGCAUUGCUGCGUUUACGGUCCUUUUUAAAAUACUCAGAAAAGUGUGGUUCUAAAAGGUUUUCAAUAUAGAUGAAUACUUAAUACAAAGAGUCCAGAAGUUUUGCGCUUUAUGUCACAAUAUGUCUUUGCCAAAUCAAAGACGUUCCUUCUUUAUAAUUAGCAAUGUAGAUCCAAAAAUGGUGCGUAACAAGUUCUAAUCGAAUUCCAGGAAUGGGCCCAUAGAAUAUGUUCCGAUGUCUGAACCAUAUCUUCAAACGGCAAACUGUAUCUUUUCACUGAAUUAUAGUUAGGAAGUUAGAAAGAAAUCGUCGGUGGUUGUGGUAUCAUGGAGUCACUUUGGUGAAACACUACGAGGUGAUGCGUCUCUGUGUUUCUCCAGUCCGCUGACUAAUCUUUGUAUAUUCUGCAGUUCAUUAAUGGAAUCCUUCCCUGACGAUUUAGGAGAUCCCGUAUUCUGGCCGUUUCCGGUUUUAUGGCUGUGGUGCUCUGACAUAGGACUGCUCUCCCUGCUGCCUGAUUUUGAUGACUCUGAUUCCGCACUCAUAGUGCUUGGUAUGCCGGUAGUGAGCAGACCGGAGCUCUGCGAAAAAGACAUUGGGAUCUGAUAAGGGCUGAAUCGCAACCUUGGCCGCGUGUUAUUGAGAAAGGGGUUCCGACUGAGAGAGGACGCGGCGCUGCCUGCGGGGAGAGCAGAGGCCGCUGCAGCUGCAGCCGCCAUGUAGGUGUAUGGGUAGGGAAGCAAUCCUCCGAACGUUGGCAUGGAAAUACCCUGAAAUGAAA